rnacentral:rRNA from 1 species
GACGAACGCUGGCGGCGUGCUUAACACAUGCAAGUCGAACGGAAAGGCCCUGCUUUUGUGGGGUGCUCGAGUGGCGAACGGGUGAGUAACACGUGAGUAACCUGCCCUUGACUUUGGGAUAACUUCCGGAAACUGGGGCUAAUACCGGAUAGGAGCUCCUGCUGCAUGGUGGGGGUUGGAAAGUUUCGGCGGUUGGGGAUGGACUGGCGGCUUAUCAGCUUGUUGGUGGGGUAGUGGCUGACCAAGGCUUUGACGGGUAGCCGGCCUGAGAGGGUGACCGGCCACAUUGGGACUGAGAGACGGCCCAGACUCCUACGGGAGGCAGCAGUGGGGAAUAUUGUACAAUGGGCGGAAGCCUGAUGCAGCAACGCCGCGUGCGGGAUGACGGCCUUCGGGUUGUAAACCGCUUUCGCCUGUGACGAAGCGUGAGUGACGGUAAUGGGUAAAGAAGCACCGGCUAACUACGUG